GACAGAGGGUGCAAACGUUGUUCGGAAUUACUGGGCGUAAAGGGCGCGUAGGCGGCCUCGCAAGUCCCGUGUGAAAUCCCUCGGCUCAACUGAGGAAUGGCACGGGAAACUGCGGGGCUUGAGUUCGGGAGAGGGAAGCGGAAUUCCGGGUGUAGCGGUGAAAUCCGUAAAUAUACGAAGGAACGCCAAAAGCGAAGGCAGCUCUCUGGGUCACUACCGACGCUGGGGUGCGAAAGCAUGGGGAGCGAACAGG
rnacentral:rRNA from 1 species